rnacentral:tRNA from 1 species
GCGAGUGUAACUCAGUUGGUAGAGUAUCACGUUGCCAACGUGAUUGUCGACGGUUCGAAUCCGUUCACUCGCUCCA